rnacentral:rRNA from 1 species
AGAUUAAGCCAUGCAUGUCUAAGUGCAAGUCGUCCCACGUUGGCGGCGGAACCGCGAAAGGCUCAUUAAAUCAGUUAUGGUUCCUUAGAUAGUACUCCCCAGUUAAUUGGAUAACUGUGGUAAUUCUAGAGCUAAUACAUGCCAACGGUAGUUCCGACCGCGCGACGUCGUCUCCGGACGGCGUCGUGUUCGGAAGGAACGCUUUUAUUAGAUCGAAACCGGCCGGGCYGGCGGCUCGACUCGUCUUMGGGCGAUGCUCGCGGUCGUCGGCUUUGUGGCCCGCGCAAUGACUUGGUGAUUCUGAAUAACUUUGGGCUGAUCGCAGCGGCCUUUGCGCCGGCGACGUAUCUUUCAAAUGUCUGCCUUAUCAACUGUCGAUGGUAAGUUCGACGCUUACCAUGGUGUUGACGGGUAACGGGGAAUCAGGGUUCGAUUCCGGAGAGGGAGCCUGAGAAACGGCUACCACAUCCAAGGAAGGCAGCAGGCGCGUAAAUUACCCACUCUUCGUUCGAGGAGGUAGUGACGAAAAAUAACGAUACGGGACUCUAAUGAGGCCCCGUGAUCGGAAUGAGUACACUUUAAAACCUUGGUCACACGAGGAUCAAU